rnacentral:rRNA from 1 species
UAAUACGUAGGGUGCGAGCGUUAAUCGGAAUUACUGGGCGUAAAGCGUGCGUAGGCGGUUUCGCAAGUCCGCUGUGAAAGCCCCGGGCUUAACCUGGGAAUGGCAGUGGAAACUAUGGGACUUGAAUCUGGCAGAGGGGGGUGGAAUGCCACGUGUAGCAGUGAAAUGCGUAGAGAUGUGGCGGAACACCGAUGGCGAAGGCAGCCCCCUGGGCCAAGAUUGACGCUCAGGCACGAAAGCGUGGGGAGCAAACAGGAUUAGAUACCCUGGUAGUCCACGCCCUAAACGAUGAUCACUAGGUGUUGGGGAAGCGAUUCCCUAGUACCGCAGCUAACGCGUGAAGUGAUCCGCCUGGGGAGUACGGUCGCAAGAUUA